rnacentral:rRNA from 1 species
CGUGAGGAACCUGCCUUUCANAGGGGGACAACAGCUGGAAACGGCUGCUAAUACCGCAUAACACAUAGGUGUCGCAUGGCAUUUAUGUCAAAGAUUUAUCGCUGAGAGAUGGCCUCGCGUCUGAUUAGCUAGUUGGUAGGGUAACGGCCUACCAAGGCGACGAUCAGUAGCCGGACUAGAGAGGUUGGCCGGCCACAUUGGGACUGAGAUACGGCCCAGACUCCUACGGGAGGCAGCAG